UUCAGGGCACCCUGAGUGACUGUUUUAAAGUCUGCUUCAGGGCACCCUGAGUGACUGUUUUAAGGCCCGUCUUUUUAUUAUUAUGAAACUCAAGUGACGUGAAGUUUCAGAGAAGUCCUGUAGCGUAAGAGGUAUUCGCCCAAGGGGGCGGUCUAUCACAGUCUCCUCCUUCCUCUUUCCUCCAGCAGAGUUAAGAGCCUUGGGACGCCACUUAAGAUAGCGGGUCAGUAUCUACUUCCGGUUCGGCGGAGGAGAGAGGAGACUGAAGUUAAGAGCUUUGUGAUCCACCCAAAGACUCACAUUUCGGCAUUCUGACAGAAGUCUUGAAUCCAGUCAAAAAUCAUAUCUAUUGAUGUCUGCUUGAAUCUGUUCAGUGUGUCUGUUGCUAAAACACAGUUUUGUUAUUCCAUAGAACAAUCUAUGGUCAGAUAAAGUGUAAAGUCAGUCCAAUGUACCUGUGCUGAUGUUUUUGCUUCUUUAUUAGUGAUUCCAUCAGUUUGUGUUUGGGACUGGACACCUGAGAGGGGAGAAUAAAGCAGAAUUUUACAAAGACAGUUAUUGGACAUGAGAAGUGAAGAAUCCCACUCUAAUAAUCAGGAUACAGAGAACUAAUAAUGAGCACUCUUCCUACCAGCAGAGUCCUUCUCCUUCCCCUGCUGUCCAUCUGCUCUAGUUCGAUCUGCUGGUUUGGCUAUAGCUUCACUGGUGGUAGUGCUGGGAGGACGCACAGACUGGAUCUGAAGGAUGUAGCAGUCUGCCGCUGCCAGGGGGCGCCAAGCUACAUGAAGCAUGCUGACUGUGGAUUUGAUGAGUAACACGGCUUCUGGGGUGGCAGCUCUCACCGGUCUCCAGGUACCAUAGGUCCUUGCAGCAGACCUGGUAGUUCCAGCUCUUACGGUAUCCAUCCCGGCCACUCCAAAUAUAAAGCCUGGACCCGACAGUGGCAGCACAGUGGCCCGCUCUGGCUCCAGGCCCACAGGCAUAUGGAUCAUCACUCAGGGGUCCCUGGCUUUGGAGCUGGGACUCGAUAUCGUCCUGCUGCUCCGGGCCCAGGUCCUGCCAGCUCAUCGUGUCUGAGAGAGAAAAACAGAGCAGCAGUGAGCUGAGUGACGAUGCAGACAACCAAAAUGACUAAUCCCACAUUUAAACAUUCAACUCAAAUGGACAUUAUAGAAAUGUUUAGUCUCAAGUUAUACAAACUACCCUCCGCAGCGCUGCUCUCUGCAGAGUGAACAAUAUUUAAAUAUCUCCAGAUGUACUUCCUUUUUUUUACAUUCAAGCCAUGAGUAACAUAUUCAGGUCUUUUUUUCCUGACUGAUAUAAUGAUGUGUUUUUGUUUAUUUUCAUGGAUGAAUAGAUUUUAAACAUUAUGAUGUGUGUGCAGGUGUUAAGACUGUUGUAAUUUAAGUGGUUAUUAAUUUGAUUUGCAGACACUGAAACAUUGUUCAGAUAAAUCAUGUGCACUGCUCUGAGCUCAUUAUGUCUAUUUAUACAUGUUUAUUUUAAAAUGUCACGUUUGUUUAUGUUUAACCAAAAGUGGCCUCAUGAGUUUCUUCUCGUUCAUCACCUCUUUGUUUUUGCGUGCAGUAGAUUAAAAAGAUCAAAGUUUCA